rnacentral:rRNA from 1 species
GCCGAAAGCCUCAGGUUUCUGGAGGAAGGUUCGUCCGCUCCAGGUUAGUCGGGAGCUAAGGUGAGGCCUAACGGCGUAGCCGAUGCACAGACGGUAGAGAUUCCGUCACCACCAAAAGAGUUAAGCACAGGGACACAUUUGAAGUCUCGGAGCCGGGUGUUGGUUCCGGUAGCGAUCGAGGGAAGUUAGUACCGAAGUCUGAGAUGGAAGAUGGCGAGAAAAGCUGUGUGUAUUUCUGCGGUGCCCGUACCG